AUGCUUGUUUUAGCAGCAUAUGUACUGAAAUUGGAACCAUACAGAGAGAAGAGUAGCAUGGCCCCCGCACAAGGAUGACAUGCAAAUUCAUGAAGCGUUCCAUCCUGCA